GACAGAGGAGCCAAGCGUUGUCCGGAUUUACUGGGCGUAAAGAGCGCGCAGGCGGUCGUACAAGUCGCGUGUGAAAGCCCCGGCUUAACUGGGAGGGUCACGCGAUACUGUUCGACUCGAAGGCAGGAGAGGGAAGCGGAAUUCCCGGUGUAGUGGUGAAAUGCGUAGAUAUCGGGAGGAACACCAGUGGCGAAGGCGGCUUCCUGGCCUGUUCUUGACGCUGAGGCGGCGAAAGC
rnacentral:rRNA from 1 species